UAUGUACUCCCUCCGUCCCAAAAUUAUUGUCUUACAUUUGUCUAGAUACGGAUGUAUCUAAUACUAAAACGUGACUUGAUACAUCUAUAUUUGGACAAAUCUAAGACAAGAAUUUUAGGACGAAGGGAGUAUAUA
rnacentral:pre_miRNA from 1 species